rnacentral:misc_RNA from 1 species
GGCGCCCGGCUCCAUGUCCAGCCUUACACUCGAUGCGACCUAUUAUUGGAUUGAUCUGUGGGCUAUUCUCCAAACUUGUGCACAAAACAUACUGCAUGGUCGCCAAUAACUUUAGCGAGUGUAAUGGUACAACUCGAUCAUCAUGAUCAGCAGUCAGUAGCAUGGUGGAUGGGUACUGACAUGGUUGAUCAGGAUGUUGUUCCCACGGUCUUUGCACAUUGUGCAGCGGAGAGUACUUAAUUAGCCAAUGGAACUCCUCCUCCUUGUCUGAACAGCCAUAAUCAGAAGUCCAUGCAUGACCUAUUGUAAACUUGUGAAACCGCAGCAUGUCCAUAACACCAACAUGAGCCAAAGCACAACCAAAAAGAUCUGGUCUCUGAUUUAUGCAAGCCCCAAUGAGAAGCCCACCAUUGCUCCCACCUUCAAUACACAACUUACUCGGUUGGGUAUAACCAGUAGAUAUAAGGUAUUCAGCAGCAGAAAUGAAGUCAUCAAAGCAAUUCUGCUUUUUUGCAAGUGAGCCUGCUUUAUGCCAUUCCUCACCAUAUUCUCCACCACCACGAAUGUUUGCAAUGCAGUAGACAGCACCUAAAUGCCUUGUGAGUAUAAUACGACUGACACUGAAUGAUGGUGUCAAACUAAUGUUAAAUCCACCAUAUCCAUAUAACAAACAUGGAUGUGAUCCAUCCAAUUUUAUAUUCUUCUUGGCCUAUUGGUAUCUUGGUGCCAUCCUUACUAGGAACAAAAACCUGAUCCACAUGGAACUCUGUGCGAUCAAAUCCUGCUACACUAAUUUCCCGAAAUAUCUUCAUAUCAGGAGCUUCAGUGUCCAAAUUGCAUUGAUAUAUGAUACCAGGGGUAAGAAAACUAGUAAACCCAAUAAAUACUGUACUAUCUUUCCGUCUUGCGGAUAUCCCAUAAACUGUGCCAAUGUCAAUCGGUAAUUGAUGCAGCAAGGAUCCUGUUUUCAGAUCCCUCACCUGUAGAACAUACUUGACAUCACUCAAGUAGCUUACAAUCAUUUGAUCACCAUUGACAGCACAUGCUGAUUCUAGGACGUCCUUCGCAGCUUCUGGGACAACGUCUGUCCAAAUACUUGGCUCCUUCAAAUCUACCCGGACCAAUUUAUAUUUAGGAGCAUCUUUAUUAGUCAAAAAAGUAAACAAGGUUUCAUCAUUUGCAAUGGCUAUGUACUGUGCAUCAAAGUUAUCAAUAAGCUUAAUAAAUGGAAGCAGGUGAUUUCCUCUGAAACCGUCAAGGCCCUCAGGAAAUGCAGACAUAUCACAGUAGUAUACUUUGUUGACUGGAUCACAGCUCUCAUCAAUGUACAGCAGAAGAUACUUGCCAUCAUCUGUUACACUAGCUCCAAACAUGUAUUUGGGGUUUUCAGGAUCUCUCCAGCAUAGUAUAUCUUCAGACUGAUCCGUGCCCAAGAAAUGAUAGUAUAAUUCAUGGUAAAGAUUAGAAUUAGUCUCUGUUCCAGCAUCUAAGUUUUCUCCUUCUUUGGG